rnacentral:snoRNA from 1 species
GGGCAUACCCAUUGACCCGGCCUGGCUGUGCGAUGGCCAGGCAAGGGGGACAGCAUAUGCCAGAGUGAGUCGGAGUCCCUGCAGGCCCUAGCUCCCUUCCCAGGGGCUGGGAAAAUCUCGGUGCUCUCACAUUC